AUGGCCGACGAAGAAUUUAAUGUCCUUAGAGAUUUACAAACGCAUCUUCGCACGGCCCAAGUUCCUUUCGAACAACUAUCUACUCUUGCAAAACAAGGAGAUGACAAGCUUGUGGAGAGGUUCCUCACAGAGAACAUUAGGGUGGAGGGCAAUGGGCCGGAGGUCAUGCAAAGUCAGCUAUAUAUAGCAUGUUUCUGGGGAAUAAGAGAAAUUGUGAUGACUUUACUUGCCAAAGGAUGUGACCCCAACUGUCAGAACAAAGGUACAUUGUGGACCCCUCUACACGCAGCAAGUUUCCAGGAACACGGGCCAAUCGUGAUGGUAUUGCUUGAAAGUGGUGCUCAACCUGAACUGCCAGACUCUGAAGGAAGAACAGCGAAAGACUUUGCCUCCGCCUCUGACAAGAUUUGGCCACACUUUGCCAUGCUUGGAUUAACAAGAAGCAAAAAAGCAGAACUUAUUCAGAAAGGAGUCAUUAAAAAGGUUCAAGAAACUGGUUCAAACAAUCGACAAGCAUACAAAACCCCAGGACAAGGAAUCAGAAUGGCUGCUGAUAGUCGACCAGAGUCUGCCUAUGCCUACAACAGUGACCCAUUUAUACACGCAGCAGUGACCGGAGAUGUUCUUGCAGACCAGGAGGAGAGCCAGCCACAACAAAAGCUGUCUCAGCCACAGUUCACUCUCUGGCGGUGACAGGACCUAACACUUCUAAACACUGUUAUAUACAUGAUUCCAUAUACACUGAACACCUGAAUGUAGAGACAGAGUGCUAUCAUACGGAACAAAACAGAAUAUGUCUCAGGAAGGAAAAAAAGGUGAUCAUUUCUGUGUACAUCUGAAACUAUACCUUUACAUCCGUCCAGUAUCACCCACCAGUUUCUGAUUACAGUUACAGGUAAAUUCUAUACCUGACAUAUAUCUAAACAUCAUACCUGAUUUACAGGUAAAUAUUACAUUGACAUACAGGUAAAUAAAAUACCUGAAUUACAGGUAAAUAUUACAUUGACAUACAGGUAAAUAAAAUACCUGAUUUACAGGUAAAUAUUACAUUGACAUACAGGUAAACAAAAUACCUUAAUUACAGGUAAAAUUUACAUUUACUUAUUUACAUUGAGUUAUAAAGCCAGCUUACAAGUAAACACAUGCCUACUUGUAGUUUAACAUUAUAUCUGACUUAUAGAUAAACUUUGACUUUCAAAUAAAUUUGACUCCUAACUUACAGGUUAAUGCUACAUACCUGACUUACAGAUAAAUAUUAUAUUGACUCACAUUUAGCUUUUAGACUUAAUUUACAUGUAAACUUUAUAUUCAUUAACAACUAGAUAUUAAGCCUGACUUACAGAUAAAUGCUACACCUGACUUACAGGUAACUGAUGUAAAUGACUUACAGGUAAACAUUAUAACUGACUUACAUGUAAAUAUUACACCAGACUUAUGUGUUAAUGCUACUGUUUACUGAUUUACAGGUAAAUAUUACACCAGACUUACGUGUUAAUGCUACUGUAUACUGACUUACAGGUAAAUAUUACACCAGACUUACGUGUUAAUUCUACUGUAUACGGACUUACAGGUAAAUAUUAUACUAGGCUUACGUGUUAAUGCUACUGUAUACUGACUUACAUGUACAUAUUACACCAGAUUUACGUGUUAAUGCUACUGUAUACUGACUUACAGGUAAAUAUUACACCAGACUUACGUGUUAAUGCUACUGUAUACUGACUUACAGGUAAAUAUUACACCAGACUUACGUGUUAAUGCUACUGUAUACUGACUCACAGGUAAAUAUUACACCAGACUUAGGUGUUACUGCUACUGUAUACUGACUCACAGGUAAAUAUUACACCAGACUUAGGUGUUACUGCUACUGUAUACUGACUUACAGGUAAAUAUUACACCAGACUUACGUGUUAAUGCUACUGUAUACUGACUUACAGGUAAAUAUUACACCAGAUUUAGGUGUUAAUGCUACUGUAUACUGACUUACAGGUAAAUAUUACACCAGACUUACGUGUUAAUGCUACUGUAUACUGACUUACAGGUAAAUAUUACACCAGACUUACGUGUUAAUGCUACUGUAUACUGACUUACAGGUAAAUAUUACACCAGAUUUAGGUGUUAAUGCUACUGUAUACUGACUUACAGGUAAAUAUUACACCAGACUUACGUGUUAAUGCUACUGUAUACUGACUUACAGGUAAAUAUUACACCAGAUUUAGGUGUUAAUGCUACUGUAUACUGACUUACAGGUAAAUAUUACACCAGAUUUACGUGUUAAUGCUACUGUGUACUGACUUACAGGUAAAUAUUACACCAGACUUACGUGUUAAUGCUACUGUGUACUGACUUACAGGUAAAUAUUACACCAGACUUCCGUGUUAAUGCUACUGUAUACUGACUUACAGGUAAAUAUUACACCAGACUUACGUUUUAAUGCUACUGUAUACUGGCUUUCAUGUAAAUAUUACACCAGGCUUACGUGUUAAUGCUACUGUAUACUGACUUACAGGUAAAUAUUACACCAGACUUACGUGUUAAUGCUACUGUAUACUGACUUACAGGUAAAUAUUACACCAGACUUAGGUGUUACUGCUACUGUAUACUGACUUACAGGUAAAUUUUACCCCAAACUUACAUGCAAAUGUUAUACCCGACUUAAGGUAAAUUUAACAUUACAUUGACUUAUGGUAAAUUUUAUACCAGGCUUACAGGUUAAUAAUGACUGAGGUAAACUUUACCCUGAUUUACAGUUAAAUAUUACACCUGAUGUACAGGUUAAUAAUUACUCAUAGGUACACUUUACCUUGAUUUACAGUUAAAUUUUAUACAGACAAGAUAGUAAAUACAUUCACAGUUUUUGCUGAUGAAAUAAAACUAACUUUUUAACAGAUUUGGGAAAUUUGAUGUUUUACAGACAGUUGAAGUCAAUUUGUGGCUUUGAUGUUCAAAUAGUUCUGUAACAUUGUUUCAAUUUUAGUCCAAGUUUAUGUUGCUUAAUUUAUUCUUGGUAGUUUUUGUUUUAGAAUUGAAAUAUGAUUAUCCACAUGUGAUGCUCUGAGAUUCAGUUUAAACUUUAGUUUUACUUGAGGAAUAUGAUACUGCCAUGUUUACAUUAAUUGUUGUUCUAUUUUGUGAUUAUCUUAUGAUAAGCUUUCUGUUUUACUGUUGCCAUGGGAAUAUGAUUUUAAGUAAUUUGUAGACAUAUCUCCAUAGUUAUGUGAUGUCUUGAGUUGUUUAUACAGAUUUCAAUUGUUGUUCAGGUUAUGUAAUAUCAUGUGGUUAUACUUGAAUCACUGGUGUCAUCACAGUAAAUAUGAUGCCCUAAUGUCAGGUCAAUACUUGGUUAUGUGAUAUCAACAUUCAGUAAAAUUUACUUUAUUGUGUGUGAUGCCCCUGUGUUAGUACUUAAUUGUGUGUGAUGUCCCUCUGUCAGUACUUAAUUUUGUGUGUGAUGUCCCUGAGUGAGUAUAUUAGUGUGUGAUGCCCCUCUGUCAGUAUUUUAUUGUGUGUGAUGUCCCUGAGUGAGUAUAUUAAUGUCUGAUGACCCUGUGUCAGUACUUUAUUGUGUGUGAUGUCUCUGAGUCAAUACUUUAUUGUGUGAUGUCCCUGUGUCAGUACUUUAUAGUGUGUGAUGUCCCUGAGUGAGUAUAUUGUUGUGUGAUGACCCUGUGUCAGUACUUUAUUGUGUGUGAUGUCCCUGAGUGAGCAUAUUGUUGUAUGAUGACCCUGUGUCAGUACUUUAUAGUGUGUGAUGUCCCUGAGUGAGUAUAUUAGUGUGUGAUGCCCCUGUGUCAGUACUUUAUUGUGUGAUGUCCCCGAGUCAGUACUUUGUUGUGUGAUGUCCCCGAGUCAGUACUUUGUUGUGUGAUGUCCCUGUGUCAAUACUUUAUUGUGUGAUGUCCCUGAGUUAAUACUUUAUUGUGUGAUGAUUCUGAGUCAGUACUUUAUUGUGUGAUGUCCCCGAGUCAAUACUUUAUUGUGUGAUGUCCCCGAGUCAGUACUUUGUUGUGUGAUGUCCCUGAGUGAGUAUAUUGUUGUGUGAUGUCCCUGAGUCAAUACUUUAUUGUGUGAUGUCCCUGAGUCAAUACUUUAUUGUGUGAUGUCCCUGAGUCAGUACUUUGUUGUGUGAUGUCCCUGAGUGAGUAUAUUGUUGUGUGAUGUCCCUGAGUCAAUACUUUAUUGUGUGAUGUCCCUGUGUCAGUACUUUAUUGUGUGAUGUCCCUGAGUCAAUACUUUAUUGUGUGAUGUCCCUGAGUCAGUACUUUAUUGUGUGAUGAUUCUGAGUCAGUACUUUAUUGUGUGAUGAUUCUGAGUCAGUACUUUAUUGUGUGAUGAUUCUGAGUCAGUACUUUAUUGUGUGAUGUCCCCGAGUCAGUACUUUGUUGUGUGAUGUCCCCGAGUCAGUACUUUGUUGUGUGAUGUCCCUGAGUUAGUACUUUGUUGUGUGAUGUCCCUGAGUUAGUACUUUGUUGUGUGAUGUCCCUGAGUUAGUACUUUGUUGUGUGAUGUCCCUGAGUUAGUACUUUGCUGUAUGAUAUCCAUGAAUCAGUGCAUUGUUGUGUAAAGCCCCUGGGUCAGUACUUCAUUGUGUAAAGCCCCUGGGUCAGUACUUUAUUGUGUGUGAUGUCCCUGAGUGAGUAUAUUCUUGUGUGAUGCCCUUGUGUCAGUACUUUAUUGUGUGUGAUGUCCCUGAGUGAGUAUAUUGUUGUGUGGUGACCCUGUGUCAGUACUUUAUAGUGUGUGAUGUCCCUGAGUGAGUAUAUUAGUGUGUGAUGACCCUGUGUCAGUACUUUAUUGUGUGUGAUGUCCCUGUGUCAGUACUUCAUUGUGUAAAGCCCCUGGGUCAGUACUUCAUUGUGUAAAUCCCCUGGGUCAGUACUUCAUUGUGUAAAGCCCUUGGGUCAGUACUUCAUUGUGUACAGCCCCUGGGUCAGUACUUCAUGAUGUAAAGCCCUGGGUCAGUACUUCAUUGUGUAAAGCCCCUGGGUCAGUACUUUAUUGUCUGUGACAUAAUAUAGGUAUUCUUUGAUCAAAUGUUAUGGGUGAGAGAUGUUGACCAAAUGUUGUGUAUGGGAAAUAUUGAUGUUUAGUAAAAUAAAACGUUGAUUAUGAAAUUUA